rnacentral:rRNA from 1 species
CCCCCAGAUGUUCUGGGCCGCACGCGCGCUACACUGAACAGUUCAACAAGUCUUAACCUUGGCCGAUAGGUCUGGGUAAUCUUUGAACGCUGUUCGUGAUUGGGAUAGACCUUUGCAAUUAUGGGUCUUCAACGAGGAAUUCCUAGUAAACGCAAGUCAUCAGCUUGCAUUGAUUACGUCCCUGCCCUUUGUACACACCGCCCGUCGCACCUACCGAUUGAAUGGUCCGGUGAAAUCUCGGGACGGCGGCUUGGUCGCUUGCGUCCGACUGCUGAAACUUGAUUAAACCAUAUCAUUUAGAGGAAGGUGAAGUCGUANCA